rnacentral:rRNA from 1 species
AACGAACGCUGGCGGCAUGCCUAACACAUGCCAGUCGAACGAGACCUUCGGGUCUAGUGGCGCAAGGGUGCGUAACGCGUGUUAACCUGCCCUUAGGUUCGGAAUAACUCCCCGAAAGGGGUGCUAAUACCGGAUAAUGUCUUCGGACCAAAGAUUUAUCGCCUUUGGAUGGGCCCGCGUUGGAUUAGCUAGUUGGUAGGGUAAAAGCCUACCAAGGCGACGAUCCAUAGCUGGUCUGAGAGGAUGAUCAGCCACACUGGGACUGAGACACGGACCAGACUCCUACGGGAGGAAGCAGUGGGGAAUAUUGGACAAUGGGCGAAAGCCUGAUCCAGCAAGGCCGCGUGAGUGAUGAAGGCCUUAGGGUUGUAAAGCUCUUUUACACGGGAUGAUAAUGACAGUACCGGGAGAAUAAGCGCCGGCUAACUCCGUG